rnacentral:rRNA from 1 species
ACAAUAAAUGUAAAAUGUGAAUUUUAGGAUGAUUAAUUAAUUUAUAAGCUAAAUAAAGUUAUAUGAAUAUUGAUUGUUUGAUAUAUAAAAUUAGAAAAUUUUUUUUAAUUAUAGAUAAAAGUAAUGUGAAUGAAUGGGUAUAUAAAAUAGGAUAAAAUUUUGAAAAGGAGGUUUAAUUGAGCGUUCCUUUUGUAUUAGGAUUUAUUAAAAAAAAAAUUAUAAAAUAUAAUUAUCUCGAAUUUAUAAGAAUUAAUUAUUUAUGAAAGUUAUUGUAAUAUUAAUAUUUUUAAUAAAUAGUUAGAGGGGAAAUCUUAUUCAAUUAUAAGGAUAUCUAGUUUUUAUUGAAUUAAAUUUAAUUUAGAUAAAUUAGGGUAAUUUUAUUAAUUUGAAAGAUAAAUUUAUUAAAUUUAUAAAAUAUUUAUGGGAUAAACUAUAGAUAGGGUAAAAUUUAUUAGUUAAGAAUCAUUAGGUUGAUAUAGUUUUAAAAUUUAAUUUUUUAAGAAAAAAUUUAAUAAUUUAUAAUUAGGAUGAGUAUAAAAAUUUAAAUUAAAAAAAUUUAGGAUUUAGGUAAAUAUUUUUAUUAAUAUAAAUUAUAAGGUAAUAAUGAUAAAAUUAAUAUAAAUUUAGAUGUAAGAUAUAAAAUAUAUAGUGAUAAAUAAGUUAUAGUAAUUAGGCAAAUUUAAUAAAUUCAACUGUUUAAUAAAAACAUAGUUUUUUGAUUAUAAUAUAAGAUUAGUUCUGCUCCAUGAAUAAAUUAAAUAGCUGCAGUAAAUUGACUGUACUAAGGUAGCAUAAUCAUUUGUCUUUUAAUUGAAGACUGGAAUGAAUGAAUAAAUGAGAUUUAUACUUUCUUUGACUUAAGAUUAAAAUUUAAAAUUUAAGUAAGAAUGCUUAAAUAAAUUUAGGGGACGAUAAGACCCUUUAGAAUUUUAUAUUUAUAAAUAUUUAAAAGUUAGUUUAGUAAAAUAAUUAUAAAUAUUUAAUUGGGAGGAUUGUUAAAUUAAUUUAACUUUAAUUAAUGUAAUACAUAAAUUAAUGAGUAGAGGAUUAAUAAAUAUUUAAUAAAGAAUUAAUUACCUAAGGGAUAACAGCGUAAUAUUUUUGGUGAGAUCAUAUUAAUAAAAAUGUUUGCGACCUCGAUGUUGAAUUAAGGUAUAAUUUAGGUGCAGAAGCUUAAAGUUUUAGUCUGUUCGACUAUUAAAGCCUUACAUGAUUUGAGUUUAGACCGAUGUAAGUCAGGUCAGUUUCUAUCUUUAAUAAGAAAAAUUAUAAUUGUACGAAAGGACUUUAUGAUUGAAAUAAUUUUAAAUAUAUUGGGAUAUAAUACUAUUAAUAGAAAAAAAAA